UUCUGCCGUGAUCGUGAGGCCUCCCCAGCCACAUGGAACUAUACUUCAAAUUACUUCUCCUAUGCAUUUGGAGAGCGGGAGAGAAAAACACCAGGAAGGAAGAGGGAACAAAGAAACUCUACAGGCAGAGACACAGGACUGAGCCGCGUUGGGGGCACUGGGAGGAGUGAGCCUUGGGGUUGCACCCUCGGAGCCCCACUGUCCUGGGAGCAGCCUUCAGAACCACCCUUUUGUUCUCUGAAGUACCAGGCGUUCAGCUUUUCCAAGGACUGGCAGCUGCACAUCUUUGUCCCUGCCCCUUCCAUCUCUAGGCUCAGCCCCGCUGGGCAGCCUGGCCCACUCCCCACCCCUGCCCAGGGCCAACCCCUACUUCCCAUGCCCCCUCUGCCCACCUGCAGCACACUGGAGCCUUGGAGGCCCUCUCUGCAUCAUUCAAGAUGCAGACUCCUACACUUUGACCUGCACACAUCCUCCUGAAGCUUCCACUUCCUGGCCCCUGCCUGGCUUCUCACCUCCCCCACCUCCGCCCCCCAGGGGAUGUGCCGCCUCUCCCAGUGGCCCAGGACAUCCUCCACUUCCCGGGAACCCCAGGCACUUCCACAUCCUCAGACACAGUGAGAAGAUGACCCUCUCUCCAAGCCAGGAAGAGACCUCCCGAGGAGCCCAGCCAGCCAGCACGCUGACCUCCAACGUCCAGCCUCUGGAAAUGGGAUACCGAAGGCUGCGCUCCUGCCCCGCACCAGGAUGUGGGAACUUUGAGAACCGCUGGAGAGUCGAGAGAUGUCAUCGAAACGACACCCGAUACGUGUUCCCUGAGCAUCCGUUUUGUAGUGAAGACACUCGUACUGUUGACGCCUGCUGCGGUAAGCGGAGACAGGGCAGGGCGAUCAGGAGCAGCGUGAGCCAAAGGAGGACCAUCGGGAACGCAGCUCCGGAACGCAGGACAGAGGUGCCUGCUGCAGGAGAAACGAGAGUCAGGCAGCGGGGACUGGCUGUGAAACUGGGUUGCGGGUAAUGAAGGAUGCUUGCCCCUUCCAGAGCCUGGUGCUCACAGCAGAAGGAGCUGCUUCUGGAGGGAAAGCGGUGAACAUUGUCACGACCCCAAAAGGAGACUCCAGACCCAUUAAAGACCCGUCCUUCCUCUUCCCCAGCCUGUGGCAACCACUCAUCCACUUUCUGUCUCUGUGGAUUUGCCUGUAUCUGGACAUAGGGAAUAAAUGGAAUCAUACAGACACUAUGUAUCUUUUUGUAUCUGGCCUCUCUCAGGAAGCAUGAUGUCCUCAGCAUUCACCCACAUUGCCACCUGUGGCAGAGCCUCGUUCCUUUUCAUGGCUGUGUAAUAUUCCACCGUGUGGCUGGACCACAUUAUAUUUCUCCAUUCAUCUAUAGAUGGGUAUGAGGACUCUCUCCACCUCUUGGCUAGUGUGAAUAAAGCUGCUUAUUCCUUUUCAUGGCUGUGUAAUAUUCCACCGUGUGGCUGGACCACAUUAUAUUUCUCCAUUCAUCUAUAGAUGGGGUAUGAGGGCUGUCUCCACCUCUUGGCUAUUGUGAAUAAAGCUGCUUGUUCCUUUUCAUGGCUGUGUAAUAUUCCACUGUGUGGAUGGACAUUAUAUUUUUCCAUUCAUCUAUAGAUGGGUAUGAGGGCUGUCUCCACCUCUUGGCUAUUGUGAAUAAAGCUGCUUGUUCCUUUUCAUGGCUGUGUAAUAUUCCACUGUGUGGAUGGACAUUAUAUUUCUCCCUUCAUCUAUAGAUGGGGGUAUGAGGGCUGUCUCCACCUCUUGGCUAUUGUGAAUAAAGCUGCUUGUUCCUUUUCAUGGCUGUAUAAUAUUCCACUGUGUGUCUGGACCACAUUAUAUUUCUCCAUUCAUCUAUAGAUGGGUACGAGGGCUGUCUCCACCUCUUGGCUAUUGUGAAUAAAGCUGCUUGUUCCUUUUCAUGGCUGUAUAAUAUUCCACUGUGUGGCUGGACCACAUUAUAUUUCUCCAUUCAUCUAUAGAUGGGUAUGAGGGCUGUCUCCACCUCUUGGCUAUUGUGAAUAAAGCUGCUUGUUCCUUUUCAUGGCUGUGUAAUAUUCCACUGUGUGGCUGGACCACAUUAUAUUUAUCCAUUCGUCUAUAGAUGGGUAUGAGGGCUGUCUCCACCUCUUGGCUAUUGUGAAUAAAGCUGCUUGUUCCUUUUCAUGGCUGUGUAAUAUUCCACCGUGUGGCUGGACCACAUUAUAUUUAUCCAUUCGUCUAUAGAUGGGUAUGAGGGCUGUCUCCACCUCUUGGCUAUUGUGAAUAAAGCUGCUUGUUCCUUUUCA
rnacentral:lncRNA from 1 species